GCAUCCAGCAGUCUCAGCAGGAGCCCCACAUUUGCUGGAGCUCAGCAGCUGCAACCAUCAGGUUGACCAAAGAGAUGCUUAAGAAUUUGGAAAAUACUGUAUAGUAUACAAAGGGGUAGCGGAGGAGUGUGAUUUCCACUUGCUGGAAGAGAAAGCGAAAGAGUCUGCAGAAAUUCCCGUUCUGGCGCAACCGGAAAGCAGACGAAAUGUGUCUGCAGCAGGGAGGGUGUGUUUUAAAUUCCCACAUUUGGAGCAGACGCCUUGACAGCUCGGUAAACAGCGAGGUGUAAGAUCCCGUCGCUUACAAGCCAAAGAACCGGAGACUGAAGCAUUUCCUGCAGAACUUUUCAUCAGGCUGGGUGUUACAGAGCGCACAGUGCAGAAGAAACAGAAGAAUCUCAAAUCAUCUGGAUUUGGAACCAAGUCCCCUUGUUUUCUGGUUCAACUUAUGUCCAAAAAGUGACAUUCUAUAAAGC